CUGGAAGAAGACAUCCAGAUGGAAAUGACCAAGGUAUAGAAACAAUAGAAAGUUAAUGAGAUGAUGUGUUAAGCACUUUGCCUUCUUGAGAAGGAUGGCAUGGAAGAUCAUUUAAAGAUGACUAUGCAAAGUUAUCAUUUUAAUGCUUGACUGAAUUUCUCAGAAAAAGGUGGAAGAGACAACUCACUUCUCCAGCUCAUUCCAGAACACAUAGGGGUCGGAACUCUUCUGCCGGAUCUUCAGCAUGUGCUGCACGAGGCGGAUGGAGCGAUUAUAAGAUUUGUCCAGUUCGCUGAUGAUGAACAGCAGAUCGGAGCUGAGGGCUGGCACAGCUGCAUACUGCCACAGCAGCACCGGCAGCCAGGUAAAGAAGCAGAAAUGCAUACAGGGAGACUGCCCAGGGCACUGGAUCUACAGGCCAAGGAGUGGGAACCUGGCAGACGUUUCCCUUGCAGCCUUCAGAGGAGCCAAUACUGAUGACACCUUGAUCUUAGACUUCCGGUCUCCAGAACCCUGAGACGAUAAUUUUGAUUGUUGAAGCCACCCAGUUGGUGGUGCUUGGUUUCAGCAGCUCUAGCAAAUUAACACAGGCACUUUUCUUCAGGUUUCCUCAUCAUACUUACCACACCUAGCAGGGUUGGGCCAACUAUUUUGCCUACAGUAAAAUCUCUACUUGUAAAGAUUUUUAUUUAUUUAUUUAUUUAUUUAUUGAGAUUGAGUCUCGCUCUCUUGCC
rnacentral:lncRNA from 10 species